UACAGAGGGUGCAAGCGUUAAUCGGAAUUACUGGGCGUAAAGGGCGCGUAGGUGGCCAACUAAGUCAGACGUGAAAUCCCUCGGCUUAACCGGGGAACUGCGUCUGAUACUGGAUGGCUUGAGUUUGGGGGAGGGACGCGGAAUUCCAGGUGUAGCGGUGAAAUGCGUAGAUAUCUGGAGGAACACCGGUGGCGAAGGCGGCGUCCUGGACCAAUACUGACACUGAAACGCGAAAGCCAGGGGAGCAAACGGG
rnacentral:rRNA from 1 species